GACGAACGCUGGCGGCAUGCUUAACACAUGCAAGUCGAACGAGUGGCGAACGGGUGAGUAAUACGUCGGUAACCUGCCCUAUGGUUGGGAUAAGCCUUGGAAACGGGGACUAAUACCGAAUAAAGGGUGAUGGGCUCGCGGCCUAUCAGCUUGUUGGUGGGGUGAUGGCCUACCAAGGCGGUGACGGGUAGCCGGCCUGAGAGGUUGACCGGCCACACUGGAACUGAGAUACGGCCCAGACUCCUACGGGAGGCAGCAGUGGGGAAUAUUGCACAAUGGGCGCAAGCCUGAUGCAGCCAUGCCGCGUGUAUGAAGAAGGCCUUAGGGUUGUAAAGUACUUUCAGCCGGGAGGCGUUACCGACAGAAGAAGCACCGGCUAACUCCGUGCCAGCAGCCGCGGUAAUAC
rnacentral:rRNA from 1 species